AGGCGACUUCGCGAUGGAAACUAGAAAGAUCCAGACUAAUUUAUAUUUAUUUAAUUUACUUGGUUGGGAUACGUGCGGGGUAGACAUAGGCGGUGACUCCGAUGCUCCCGUUUUCUUUUCGUUUAUUCUGUUUUUCUUUGUUUUGCCUGUGAAAGUGUAGAGAGCUUUUCCAUCGGUUGAACUUGCUUUUUGGAAGAGCAAAAGGCAGCAGAUCAAAGCUGAUGAUGGUCACCGAACUGGAUAUGCAGAGAGAGAGGUCAUCAAAAGCACAGGCUCAGCCUCAGCCGAGAGUAUUUAAAGGGGCCGAAGAAUUCGAAUCGACUAGAAUGCACUCAGUAGUAGCACUGGGGUUAUGGCUGGGAGCCAUCCAUUUUAACGUUGCUUUGCUCCUCGUCUCCCUCUUCUUUCUACCUCUUUCUAAAGCACUUUUGGUUUUAGGAUUGCUUGCAAUUCUUAUGGUCAUUCCCAUUGAUGAGAAAAGCAGAUUGGGACGGCGAGUGUCUAGGUAUAUAUGUAAGCAUGUUUGCAAUUACUUCCCAGUUACUCUGCACGUAGAGGAUCUACAAGCCUUCCAUUCUGAUCGUCCUUAUGUCUUUGGUUAUGAACCACAUUCAGUUUUGCCAAUUGGCGUUGUUGCACUUGCUGACCUCACAGGUUUCAUGCCACUCCCAAAGAUAAAAGUCCUCGCAAGUAGUGCUGUGUUCUACACACCUUUUUUGAGGCACAUAUGGACAUGGUUGGGUCUUACUCCGGCGGCAAAGAAAAAUUUUGUCUCCCUCUUAGAUGCUGGUUAUAGUUGCAUCAUAGUGCCAGGGGGAGUACAAGAGACCUUUCUUAUGGAGCAUGGUUCUGAGAUUGCCUUCCUCAAGACGAGAAGAGGAUUUGUUCGAAUAGCCAUGGAGAUGGGGCACCCUCUGGUUCCAGUGUUCUGCUUUGGUCAGGUUUUCCAUGGCCCUGGAUGUCAAUUGCUUAUGAUCUUGUUGAUUAAUAUUCCUUUUUUGAUGAUGAAUCUCCUUUACCUAAGCAGCUAAUAUGUUUAUCUACUCCUCUCAUUUUCCCAAUUUUGCAACAGUCACGUGCCUAUAAAUGGUGGAAACCAGGUGGGAAGUUCUUCCUGAAAUUUUCUAGGGCCAUCAAGUUCACCCCAAUUUACUUCUGGGGAAUUUUGGGUUUUCUCUUUCACAGAUCUCCUUUACCCUUUAGACAUCCAAUGCAUGUGGUGGUGGGUAGACCAAUUGAGCUCAAGAAAAAUCCACAGCCCACUAUGGAAGAGGUCAUUGAAGCUCACAGGCAGUUUGUUGAAGCGCUUCAAGAUCUCUUUGAAAGGCACAAAGUACAGGCUGGCUAUGCUGAUCUUCAGCUGAAAAUUCUUUGAUUAGAUCCUGUUCCGAAAGGGAGAGGAUCCUAUUCUGAAAAAUAAGAUGUCUUAGAAUUAUGAACAUGAUCUCAACUUUGCAGGGGGGUAGAUUAUUUAUCUGAAUACCAUGAGACUAUUUGUGUCCA